rnacentral:lncRNA from 1 species
UUUUUUUUAAUUUUUUAUUGUUGGCUGUUCAAAACAUUACAUAGUUCUUGAUAUAUCAUAUUUCACAAUUUGAUUCAAGUGGGUUAUGAGCUCCCAUUUUUACCCCAUAUANUCUACUGACAUUCGUUUGUCCCCCUUAUAUUAUUUUUCCCCUUCCCCUCACUUCCUCUUGUAUGUACUUUUGUAUAACUCUGAGGGUCUCCUUCCAUUUCCAUGCAUUGACAAAAUCAUAGAAUUUACAGGGAAAUGGAUGGCAUUAGAGCAGAUUAUGCUAAGUGAAGCUAGCCCCCUAAAAAACAAAUGCCAAAUGUCUUCUUUGAUAUAAGGAGAGUAACUAAGAACAGAGUAGGGUCGAAGAGCAUGAGAAGAAGAUUAACAUUAAACAGGGAUGAGAGGUGGGAGGGAAAGGGAGAGAUGGACCUUAAUUUUAUUUACUUGUAUGUGGUGCCGAGAAUCAAACCCAGCACCUCAUGAAUGCCAGGCAAAUGCGCUACCACUGAGCCACAACCCUAGCCCCUCCCCUAAAUAAUUUAACCACUUAGUGUAAUGUGUUAAAAUAACAUUUCCCUUUCUGUAAUCAUUUAUUUAUAAUGUCUUCGUCGUAUAGUGAUUCACAAUCUCUUAUUUACAAUUCUAAAUCCAAAAGGUUUCUGACAACCAAUUUUCUUUCCCCUUAACAUCAGAACUCAUUAUGGCAAAUUACAUGGCAAAACCUAACCUGAAAUGACAUGAAACUACAAUCUUUAUUUCUUUUGGUAUGAGUUUUCAUAUUCUACUAUAAAAAUGGUAGUGUGUUUAAUUAGAAUGCUAUUCUAGCCUUAAAUGGAGCAUGUGAUUACAUACAUUGAGUUACUAUUUAGAAAUAAAUUCUGAAUUAUGAAAUCCAGCUAAGUCUACAGAUUUAUGAUCAAGGGGCUGGGGUUGUGGCUCAGUGGUAGAGCACUUGCCUAGCAAGUGCAAGGCCCUGGGUUCUAUCCUCAGCACCACAUAAAAAUAACUAAAUAAAAUAAAAGAUAUUGUGUCCAACUACAAUAAAACAAAUAUUAAAAAAUAAGAGAUUUAUGAUUAAGAAUUUUGAAAGCAUAUUAAAUUUAUACACAGAUACACAUUAUACUUUAAUGUAUAGAGUAUUUUAUGUUAUUAUAUUGAUUGGUUAACAUAAAAUACUUUGGCAGUCCAAAGACUGCUUUUUGAUUGAAUCAUUAUAGUUUUUUAAUCCAUUAUUACUAUUCUUGUUUUUUGCAAAUAUUGACUUUUCUACUUCCAAAGUAACUUUUUUGUUGUUGCGCUUUUAGACACACAUGAUAGUAGGGUGUAUUUUGACAUAUUAUACAUACAUAGGGCACAACCCAUUACUUUUUUCUUUUGUUGAUGGACCUUUACCUUUUUAUUUAUUUUUAUGUGGUGCUAAGAAUCGAACCCAGUGCCUCACACAUGCUAGGCAAGUGCUCUACCACUGAGCCAUAACCCCAGCCCAACCCAUUACAGUUUUGAUCCCUGUUCUUAAACAUGAUGUGUAGUUAGUUACACUGGUUGUGUUUUCAUAUAUGAGCAUAGGAAAAGUAUGUCUGAUUCAUUCUACUGUCUUUGCUAUUCCCAUCUCUCUUCCAAAUUAGCUUUAGGAUCACUUGUAUUAGUUUAAAUUAAAAUUCUACUGGAAUAUUGAUUUUAGAAGUAUAUUAAUGUUUCUGGGCAGGGUGGCAUUUACCUGUAAUCCCAGUGUCUGAAUAGAGGUAGAAGGAUCACAGAUUCAAAGGCAGCCUCAGCAGCUUAGCAAGAGCUUCUCAAAAUAAAAAAUAAAAGGCUGCGGAUGUGACUUAGUGGUUAAGUGCCCCGGGGUUCAAUCCAUGGUACCCCCCAAAAAAAGUACAUUAAUGUUGUAAGUUAAUUGAUACUGAAAGAAGCAAAUGGCAAGUUAUUAUGGUAAGUAUCAUUAAAGUUUUUUAGUUAUCCUGUCCACAUAAAUUUUUAGGUAAAGUGGUUGUUUCUUAUUAGCUGCUACUUGUAGAGAAGCUCUUCAUUCCACAACCAUUUUAAACUGGUAAUAGCAGUUAUGUAAGGAUGUUAUUCCUUUAUUAAUGUAAAUUUUUUAAAAUAUUCUUAGGUGGACAUAAUAUCUUUAUUUUACAUUUAUGUGGUGCUGAGGGUUGAACCCAGUGCCUCGUGCAUGCUUCACAAGCACUCUACCACUGAGCCACAACCCCAGCCCCUAAUGUAAACUUUUAACAGGGGCAUAACAUGUAAACAGAAAAGAACUAUUAAGUUCAUACUCUUCAAUGAAUUUCUCAAGGUAAACACACAUAAUCACCAGAUCAAGACUGGAACUUUAGCCAUUCUGGCGUACACCUGAAUCCCAGCUAUUCAGGAAGUUAAAGCAGGAAAAUUAUAAAUUCAAGCCUCAUCUGGCAUUUUGGUGAGACUCUUAACUAUAUAAGUGAAUUCUUCCACUGUAUAUUUUUAAUAAUUAUUCAUGUUUUGUAGAAUUCAUUCUCAAUGCUGUAUAUAUAUUUCGAUGUGGUAAAUCACACUUAAUCCAUUUUUAUAGAUGAUAAACAUUGAAUUAUUUCUUGGCAUAUUAUGAAUAGAACUGCUGUCAAUAUUCUUGCACGUGUUUGGGGGGAUAUAUUUUCAGCUAGACAUAAACUUAGAGUGGGAUGCUAAGUCACAGUUGUAUUUUCCAAAGUUAUUCAAAUUUUUCCAUUUUCUAAAGUAAUUGUUCUACUGUAUUCAACAGUGUAAAGAGUUUCACUUAUUCUACACUAUUGCCAGUGCUUAAUAUUUUCAUUUUAGCCAUUUUGGUGGAACUUGGUUUUUCCUGCCUAGUAAACGUUUUUUUCCAAUAUUUAUUGAUUAUUAUAGGCUGUCCAUAUCUUUUACUCUUUUUUGUAUUAGUUGUCUGCCAUUUUCUUAGUGAUUUGUAGGUGUUCUAUAAUCUAGAUAGAAGUUCUUUAUCAAAUAUCUGAGUAUUUUCCAUUUUUUUCUUAUAAAAACUUUUUGGGUGGGUGGGUACUGGGGAUUGAACUUGGGGGGUACUCAACUACUGAGCCACAUCCCCAGACUAUUUUGUAUUUUAUUUAGAGACAUUCUGAGUUGCUUAGUGCUUCCCUUUUACUGAGGCCAACUUUGAACUUGCGAUCCUUCUGUCUUAGCCUCCUGAGCUGCUGGGAUUACAGGCAUGAGCCACCAUACCCAGCUCUAAAAUCAUUUGUUCUCAUAUUUUGAUUGGUUAUCCAUCUGGAAUUAAUUUUCCAUGUGAAUAUCCAGUUUAACCCAGCACCCUUUAUUAAAAAUACUAUCCCAACAACUGCAUUGUCCUUUUCCUCUAUCAUAGUUGGUAAACUGUUUAUGUGUAUGUUUCUGAACCCCAGAUUAUUCCAUUGGUCUUUUCUUAUAAGUUUUGCCUAUAACAGACUGUCUUAAUUACUAUAGGAAACCUGUGUUAUGUUCCAGUUUCCAUUUAUAUAACUAAGUGAACUCUGUUAGCACUCAUGGGUUUUCUAGUUUAUUUAUUUAUUCAGGACCUAUCUUCUGUAAAUUAUUUUCCAAUUUUAUUUCUUACUGCACUAUUAGCAUUGCCAGUACAAUUAAUAAUGAUCAAAAUAGGCUUCAUUGUCUUGUUCUUUGUUUUGUUUUAUUUUAUUUAUUUAUUUAUUCUACUAACAGGAUUGAACCCAGGGACACUUAAUCACUGAGUAACAUCCCCAGCCCUUAUAUAUUUUUUUUAAUUUUGAGACAGGGUCUUGUUUAGGGUCUCGCUAAAUUGCUGAAGCUGGGUUUGAACUUGCAAUCCUCCUGCCUAAGCCUUCCAAGCUGCUAGGAUUAAGAUGUACACCACCAUGCCCAACUUGUUCCUUAUUUUAAUGGGAAUGUUAAGUGUAAUGUUGACUUUCAUUUGUAGUAUUUUGUUUUGUUUUCUUUUGCAGUAUUGGGGAUGGAACCCAAGGUUUGAACAUGGUGGCCAUUGUUUGUAGUAUUUUAAUAAAUUACAUCAAGAGUAUGUGUUGAGCUUAAUUAGGUGCUUUUCUAAUGUCAAUUAAAAUGUUUGCAUUAAACCUAUGAAUUUAUUUGGACAUUAAUCCUAAUAUUAUAUACUUGGUGAUCUUAGUGAAUGAUUCUUGAACUAAAUUUGAUUUGUGGACACUUGUUUAAAUGUUUGCUUUUAAUGAGAUUGGUUUAAAACUGAUACUAAUUUUUAAAUGAUUUUGAAAUUUUUCCUUCUCUUAUAGUUUAUCUCAGUACUGGGGAUCAUAAAUAGAACCUGUCUUAAGGUUGGUGUGAAGUCUAAAUAAGACUAUAUGUAAAACUAUUUAGAUCAGUGCUUAGAACAUAAAAAACACUUUUUUGUGGAGGUUGGGAGUCAAUGGGGUUUGAACCCAGGGGUGAUCUACCACUUACCACUGAGCUGUAUCUCUAUCCCAUUUUAAGUUGCUGAGGCUGGUCUUGAACUUAAGAUCCUGUUGCCUUGGCCUCCCUAGUGGCCUCCCUCCCCAGCCUAAAGAGCACUUUAAAAGAAUUAGCUGCUAGGGGCUGGGGUUGCGGCUCAGUGGUAAAGCGCUUGCCUAGCAUGUGUGAGGCCCUGGGUUUGAUUUCAACACUACAUACAAAUAAAUAAAAAUAAAGGUCCAUUGGUAACUGGAAAAAAAAAAAAAGAAUUAGCUGCUAAAGAUCAGUAGAGUAGAGGGAGUGGGGAGGGGUAAAGUGCUGGGGAUUAAAUUAGAGCAAAUUACAUUUCAUGCUUUUGUGAUUAUGUCAAAAUAUAUCCAAAUGUUAUAACUAAAAAGAAUAUAUAUAUAACUAAAAAGAAUCAAUUAAAAAAAACAUUUAGCUGAUAUCAUAGCUGAUGGUGUUCUAUGUUUCUUUUUUCUGCAGUUUAUCUAAAAUAGCAAAUAGCUUUUCUUAGGAUUAAGUCAUCCAAAGCUGUAGUAUUUUGCUUAAAGUGUUCCAAUUUCUUUUCUCUGAAAUUUCUGGCAGGCCGAUUUAUCCAUUCAGGCUUUGAACUUAAUUAGUCAGAAACCACAUUUUUUCCUCUGAUUUUUAUAUGUGUUAUUUAAGUUGAUUUUUUUUUAACAAAAACACCAUUCUUAGAUUUAACAUUUUUUUUAAGAGAGAGAGAGUGUGUGUGUGUGUGUGUGUGUAUUUUAACAGCAUUACUGCACUAUUAGCAUUGCCAGUACAAUUAAUUGAACCCAGGGCACUUUACCACUGAGCUACAUCCCCAGCUCUUUUUAUUUUUUUAUUUUGAGACAGGAUAUGACUACAUUGCUAGGGCUGUCCUCAAACUUGCAAUCCUCCUGCCUCAGCUUCCCAAGUAGCUAGGAUUACAGACAUGCACAAAUAUACCCAGCUAGUUGUAUCCUUGUUGAUUAAUUUCUUCUUUAUCCUUUGUGCUUCCUGUUUUUAUCAGUGUACUUUUUGCAUGUUUACUUGUUAAACUACAUAAAAUUAUCUUUUUUAACCAUGAAAACAUUUAACAUUAUGACUUUACUUCUGAUUUCAACUUUCAACAUCAAAUAUGGAAGGUGGGGUAAGUAGUAUGAUUUUUUAUUUAUUUUAUUUUUUACUUAGAAUUGGUUAUUAUGCUCUCUGGUAUAAAAAAUUGUAUUACUGUAAUUAAAGGAUGGUUUGUGUGUGUGUUGCUGGAGAUUG